rnacentral:rRNA from 1 species
ACAAGCAGCGGAGCAUGUGGUUUAAUUCGAAGCAACGCGAAGAACCUUACCUAGACUUGACAUCUCCUGAAUUACCCGUAACUGGGGAAGCUCUUCGGAGCAGGAAGACAGGUGGUGCAUGGUUGUCGUCAGCUCGUGUCGUGAGAUGUUGGGUUAAGUCCCGCAACGAGCGCAACCCUUAUCGUUAGUUGCUACCAUUAGGUUGAGCACUCUAGCGAGACUGCCCGGGUUAACCGGGAGGAAGGUGGGGAUGACGUCAAAUCAUCAUGCCCCUUAUGUCUAGGGCUACACACGUGCUACAAUGGUGAGGACAAAGAGACGCAAGACCGCGAGGUGGAGCAAAUCUCACAAACCUCAUCCCAGUUCGGAUUGCAGGCUGAAACUCGCCUGCAUGAAGCCGGAGUUGCUAGUAAUCGCGGAUCAGCAUGCCGCGGUGAAUACGUUCCCGGGCCUU